CGAUGUCUGAAUUUGAGUGUUCUAAUAUUGCACAACAGUAAAUCUCAAAGGAUGAAGUUGGUUAUGGUACAGGAGAGAAAUUUCUUCAUAGCAAUGACCAUCAGACCACCACUAGCAGGGACCAGCCAGAGAUAAUGGUAGAAGGAUACAAAUGCUUAUAAGUAACCAAUGGAAAGCAUGUGUUGCCUCAAAACGGAGCUCAAGGAUGGGGAUAUAGUUGAGUUCGGAGUUGC